UACGGAGGGGGCUAGCGCUGUUCGGAAUUAUUGGGCGUAAAGGGCGCGUAGGCGGCAGGAUAAGUCUGACGUGAAAUCCCUCGGCCUAACCGAGGAACUGCGUUUGAAACUGUCCAGCUCGAGUCCGGGAGAGGGUAGUGGAAUUCCCAGUGUAGCGGUGAAAUGCGUAGAUAUUGGGAGGAACACCGGUGGCGAAGGCGGCUACCUGGACCGGUACUGACGCUGAGGCGCGAAAGCCAGGGGAGCAAACAGG
rnacentral:rRNA from 1 species